AAGCCCAAUGCUGAAUGGGUAUGAAGGAAUAUAAGGUUCAUUCAUUCUCCAUCUCCUUCACGUUCGACCGCUUACCAGAAGAAGAGAAAGAAAAACCAGGUUCCGACGAACCUAGCCGCGCCGGCUUUCGCCACCGGCGGCGGCGAUCCCGAUCGGAAGAGCGUCUCACGCCAUCCCCUGCUUCCAUCUCUCCCAACCUAAACGAAAAACACUCUUCCACCUAAACCAAACAAAAUCGCUAACGCGCGACUCUAUGACGGAAUGAAACUACCGGCGAAUGAAAAAUGGAAGUGUACUCAAUCACGAUUCAUACCACAUCAAAAGGAUUGAUUAACACGAAGAGAUUAGGUUCUUACCGACGAUGACAACGGUGGAUCAAAGCUCAGGAAUUGGUAAGGUGCGGCGAUGUAAUGAGUUGAAUCGCGGUGUGCAGAGUUGUUGGAAUUGGUAUGUCGAGUUUCGGUUCGAUUUGCAGAGUUGUAUGGUGAUGCAUGGUGAGUUGAAGUUGAUUGAAUUGUGUUGAUGAAUGGUUCAAUCAAGAAUGGUCCGUUUGUUCUGCAGGAAUUGGAAACAAGGCGAUGAAGAUGGUGAUGUGAGGCGCGGGAAGAAGUUCGAAGAAGAAUUUGUGAGUUUGAUGAUGAUUUUGGAAAAAGAGAGAAGAAGUUUGUUAGCAGAAAAGAGGGGGAAGAAAGUUCAAAGCUAGCUCAUUGAUUUAUAUAGAAUUCUUGUAUUGGAUGAGUUUGAAUAUGGAUGCUGUAGUCUGCGUUUUAUUCAUUCCGCGCUUUGGGUUCUGCGUUUUGGUUUUCAUGCAUUGCAUUUCAUAAUGUCGUUUGGUGCGUAUUGCUUUGGUGCACAUGCGUUUUUAGUUUCUUCCGGUUUUCCUGUGUUUUGAAUUUGUUCUGUAUUGUGCUGCACUUCUGCGUUUCAUGUUGCACAUGCCAAUUUCCCUUGCAUUUCCAUCUUUUCUUAUUUGGAAUAUUACUUGGACUAUGUAAUGGAUAUUGGAUAUGCGGAUAUUUGGAUA